GGUUCUAGAGCCAGAUGGCGAUUAUGCUGUGGUUCCAGAGCACAAGAGCCUGGAGGCUCUGGAGCCUGACGGCGAAGAGGCUGAGGUUCUAGAGCGGGAGAGCCUGGGGCUUUUAGAGCCAGGCCUCAUGGCCUUGGGGGUUCUAAAGCCGGAUGGCCAGGAGGCUGAUGUUCUAGAUGUGGAAGCUCUGGAGCCGGAUGGGCAGGAGGCGUCCCUAGAUGCUGCCCUGGGGGUGCUAGAGCCAUCCGCCCCCUGCCGUCUCCGCGGCGGCUUGCCCCUAAUCCCGGAGGAGGGGGAGGGGCUGCGGGGCCCAGGCGACGGCUGCCCUGCCCCCGAGGACCCCUAUGUGGAGCCGCGGCGUGGCUGGGAGGAGGCGGCCAGGCCGGCGCCGGCCCCCCUGGCCCCCCUGCUGCCCCACGCCGUGUGCGCGGGGCUGGCGCUGCUGCUGGCCGCCUACCCCAGUGGGCCGGUGCUGCUGCUGCUGCUGGCGGCGCUGUGGGCCCAGGGCUCGGGCGGCGGGGCCCAGGCGCUGCUGCUGGCCCUGGAGGGGGCGCUGGUGGGGCUGGGCGUCUCCUACGCCCUGCUCCACUCGCUCUUCCUGCUCUCGGGCGCCUCCUUCCUGGCCCUGGCCAAGGGGGCGGGGGCGCUGGGCGUGCUGGGCCUGAGCGCCCGCCGGGGCCGGCUCUACGUGCCCGUCAUCCUGCUGGCCUCCCACCUGCUGGCCUCGCCCUGGCUCUUCCUGCCGCUCUACCUGCUGCUGGCGCUGGCCCGGGGCGCCCGGCGGGGGCUGCCCCGCCGCGCCCGCCGCCUCUGGCUGCGCCUGCUGCUGGGGCUGCCGCGCCCGGCCUUCCGCGCCCUGCAGGGCCUGGGGCUGCUGAGCGAGCGCGGCCUCUUCCGCCUCUUCCCCAAGACCCACAAGGGCGGCUUCCGCAGCCGGCUGCCCGUGCCCGGCCCCCCGCCCGCCCCGCCCGCCUGGCCCCGCCGCGCCCUGGCCCUGCUGGCCCGGCCCGGCCGCGCCCUCAACCGCCGCCUGCUGCGGCUGGCGCGGGAGCUGAGCGCCCGCCUGCCCCCGGCCGCCCUGCACCACCUCACGGGCCUGCGGGUGCUGCGGGAGGAGCGGCCCAGCCGCAUCCCCCGGCUGGCGGGCAGGGGGCAGGGCCGCGGGGGCCGGGGGGGCCGGGCUGCCUCCGGGGGGGCCCGGCGCAGCCCCCCAGGGGACCCCCGCCCGGCCCGGCGGCCCUGGAGGUGACUGGGCCUGGGAACCAGCCACGCCCCCGUGCUGCCCAGUGAUUGGCUGGGUGUGAACAGGCCCCGCCCCUUUCUCUGGUCCGGGGGGCUGUGAGGGAGGGUCUCCUCGUCCUUCCUCUGCGUGCUGGGAUCCAUCUGACUGCGGGGGUGGGACAGGCCGGGUCUCCUUCCCCAGCCCCCCGACCGGAGCACAAAACCCACAGCAGGUGCCCCAUGCUCCUGGGCUUCUCCGGGCCUCCCCUGACAGCGCGGGGGGGACGCGGCCCCCAAGGCAGGUGGCCCCCAUGGCCCAGAGGGGGGGGAACGUGACCCCGAAGGCAGGUGGCCCCCAUGGCCCAGAGGAGGGGAGAUGUGGCCCCGAAGGCAGGUGGCUCCAUGGCCCAGAGGGGGGGAGAUGUGACCCCGAAGGCAGGUGGCCCCAUGGCCCAGAGGGCGGGAGAUGUGGCCCCGAAGGCAGGUGGCCCCAUGGCCCAGAGGGGGGGAACAUGACCCCGAAGGCAGGUGGCCCCAUGGCCCAGAGGGGGGGAGAUGUGGCCCCGAAGGCAGGUGGCCCCCAUGGCCCAGAGGGGGGGAGAUGUGACCCCGAAGGCAGGUGGCCCCCAUGGCCCAAAGGGGGGGAGAUAUGGCCCCGAAGGCAGGUGGCCCCCAUGGCCCAGAGGGGGGGAACGUGGCCCCGAAGGCAGGUGGCCCCCAUGGCCCAGAGGGGGGGAACGUGACCCCGAAGGCAGGUGGCCCCAUGGCCCUGUGGUUUGCCAAGGGGACUGAACCCCACUCUGGUUGCUCUGUGUAGGGGGCAGCGCUGGGUACAGCUGCAGUGUCUGCUCUGGAGGAAAGAAUCACCGACCCUGCCCCCCAGGAGCCAGGGGGUGCAGUGGGGAGGCCCUGGAGGCAAGGGCAGCAGUUGGGUGAUUGAAGGGGAGACUGGGGGGGGUGCUGCUAUUGGGACCAGUGGUUUGUAUUUGUCUGAGCCCCCCGCAAACGCUAUCCAGCCCCCUGGGGGAGGGGCUCCAUUCUCAGCUAGGCCCAGGCCCCACCACACUAUCCGCCCCCCCAGAACUAGAGGGGGCUCCCGUCCGGCCGCAGGCGCCGGGGGAAGGUGCGUUUCUGCUCCCAGCUCCGAGGGGCGGCCCCAGGUGAUUCUUUCCCCGGUGACGGCUUUGAUUUCAUUUCCCAGCUCUGUAACCCCCACUCCCCUCGCGGGAGACGGGAACGUAUUUAUUGCAGGUGCCUUUACGUUUUGUGUGUGUGCAUUUGUUUGUGUAAGUGAUCAAACAUAUUAUUUUUUGUUUGUUUUGGGGUAAAUCUGUGAUAUUUCUUUUUUUAUUUGACUGAAAACAGGAGAAAUAAAAUAAAAAUAAUCACAGAUUUCCCAAAAAUGGGAGAGUCGAAAUCUUCUUUUGUGUUAAAUUAAUUUCUUAUCCAUUGGUUGGGGGAAGGUGAAACCUUUACUUUCCUUCAAAUCCUUUCCCCCCCCUGGGGGUUUUGGCAACUCUGGGGUAACACUGAUUUCAUUUGCUGCAGUUUUAGAAAAUUUCAUCGGUAUUUUUGUUGGAGCCUUUAUUUUAUCGCAUUGGUAGGAGUGAAUUUGGAAUGAGUUUUCUUCCUGUUUGAGGGCCAAUUAUGAAUAUUUUAUAUUUGCUCCACUUUAUGAAAUUUGGGAUAAUUUUUUAUUUCUCUUUCUUUAGUAUAUUUAGUCUGAUAUAUUUACUCCUCUUUCCGAGGCAAAUCGUUUUUUUGUCCUUGUUAGAAUUUAUUUUCCCUCCUGUCCGUAGUGAAUUUAGAAAUCCCCCAACCCCAUUCAGUACAUUCAGGAAUUUUCUUUGUUUUCCCCGUUUUGGGCAGAAAUCUCUGAUUUUUAUUCUAUUUACCCUGUUUUUGCUGAAUCUGAUCUUUUUUGUUCCAUUUUGGGGAAAGUUGCAUUUCACCAGCAUGUAUUUUUAAGUCUCAUUUGUCCAAGUUUUGAUCCAUCCCUUUAAUAUUUGGGGGGGGUUAUUUUCUCCUAUUUUUAGUGCAGCUACGAUUAUCCCUCAAGCUGAAAACCAGGGGGGGUCAUUUCUUUUAGAUCAUCUAGUCUGACCUCCUGUGUGUCCGAGGAAAGCAAAUUUCAGCCAUCCCAGAGCCCUGUUCCAGAAAAGUCUGUUGUAUUUGUUUUUGAGUUCAACUAGGAAUUAAUUCAGGGCGGCUUGACGGAGCUCAGACAAGAUGCUCACAGGAGUCCCCUUCAGUCUGAAAAUCGAUUCAUCUUUUCUUCCCCCCUUUUUGUAUUUGGUAUUUUACUGGUUGGUUUCGUUGCUGUAUUUUCCCUGGCGCUCUCCAGCCUUUUACAAAUUGUCAUUUUUGUAUUUAAUUUCCCCCAGUUUUGCUCCAUGUUGUUUAUUUUGAUUUGCCCGUUUUGCUGCAAAAUCGAUGGGUUUGACUUGAUUGGCUGCUUUGGUAGCCCAGUUUCUGGUUCACGUAAAAAUAGGACCAGAAUUGGCCCGAAAUUGGAGCAAUAUGUUACUAAGCUUGAGCAAACCCUGGAAGAACUGGAUUUCACCAAUUUGGGGUGGAUUUCUCCCAGUUCUGGGCCCCAGGUGGGUGACAUCUAAUGAUUUUGAGUUGAUUUUUAUCGGUUUAUGGGCAAACAAUGGGUGCAAGGCGGCUCUCUUCAUUUUCGGCUGAUUCCUGUCCAGGUUUGAGCAGGAUGUUUUGAGCUGAUCUGGGACUGAGGGUGUUGCUUUUUACCUGGGGUUGGCCCACAGUGUCCGUGGCUGGCGCCUCCCCCAGCUGUUCGAGGGGGCUAGUUCCGAUGGCUCCCGUUUUUGGUGACUGUUUGCCCCACCCCCCGCCUGUGUGUGCUCCAUACAUUCAUUUUUUUA